rnacentral:rRNA from 1 species
AAAUGAAUUGACGGGGGCCCGCACAAGCGGCGGAGCGUGUUGUUUAAUUCGUCGCAACGCGAAAAACCUUACCAGGGCUUGACAUGCACCUGCAGGGUCCGGGAAACCGGACCGGCCUUCGAGGGUGGUGCACAGGUGCUGCAUGGCUGUCGUCAGCUCGUGUCGUGAGAUGUUGGGUUAAGUCCCGCAACGAGCGCAACCCUUGUGGUCAGUUGUGAUUUUCUGGCCAGACUGCCGGGGGCAAACCGGAGGAAGGUGGGGAUGAUGUCAAGUCAGCAUGGCCCUUACGUCCUGGGCUACAAACACGCUACAAUGGCGCGGACAGAGGGUAGCCAAGCGGUAACGCGGAGCGAAUCCCAGAAACCGCGUCUCAGUUCGGAUCGAGGGCUGCAACUCGCCCUCGUGAAGGCGGAGUCGCUAGUAACCGCAGAUCAGCAUUGCUGCGGUGAAUAUGUUCCCGGGCCUUGUACACACCGCCCGU